GGCAGCCAUAGUUUGGAAAUGGAAGAAAUGGAAAAGGCAUCCAAAGAAAUAGUUAAUUGUCUCCCCUUCCCCCGGGCCCCUGCACCUGCAGGCUGCGGUGUGUGGUUUCCCACAGCUGCAGCUGGCUCGCAGCAGCCCCCUCCCUCCAAGGGAACCCGAGAGGCCCCGGAGUCUGAGGCGCCUGCAAGGGGCUCCUGGUCCUCCAUUCAGGUUCUAAGGACGCACAUAGGAUGCACUUAGAGCCUUCUAAGAGCUGCCACUGGGAGUGUUCUGAUGGUGUGUAGCCAAUUUAGGGUCCCAGCUUGGGGGCCAAAGGCGGAGAUUCUGGUUUGGAAAAUAGAAGGGGUUUCUUGAAUAGGAAAAAUAGCUGUAACGAAAAAAAUAGCUGUAACCUUUCUCCAUAGGGUCUCUUAGCGCCGCCCUACUCUGCUGACUUCUGGAAGAGGCUGAUUGGCCUCCUAGUCCUGGUUUCCUGAGGUGGGACACCUCCAGAAGAGCUCCAGAAGAGAGGAUAAGAUACAACAAUGUCCGGCACCAGACCAGGCCCAGUGUCAGCAGACCACUGUGUGCUCCAGACCACACUUAGCUCAUUCACAGCAGUGCAACCUGGCACACCAAGACUACAGAGUUCUCACUGAAAGGUGAUCGGAGUUCUGAUUUCUCUCCAGGUGUACAGAGUCAAAGACGUGUAAGAGAGAGGGACUGGAAAGAUCGCUCCACUGAGCACAGGGUGUUCUUCCAGAAGAUCUGGCUUUAAUUUUCAGUACCCACGUGGUAGCUUGCAAGUAUCUAUAACUUCCAUUCCAGGGGGAUCCUGGUGUCCUCUUCUGGCCUCCACGAAUGCUGUGCACACAUGGUAGACACACUCAGACACACACACACAACAAAUGCAUAUUUUUAAAAUAAAUAUAAAUAAAAGUUCUGGAGAAGCAGAUGCCCACGAUGAGGUGACUGCCCACAUGAGUUUCACGGUUAUUUUUACUCUUUAUCCAGUAUUUAUUCAUUAUGAUCUUGAGAACUCACUGUCAAGAAAAACAGAGAAAGCCUACUGUUGGGAGAGCUACUGGCCAGACCUACAGUGUACUUUCUGGCCUUCCCAAAUCUCAGAGACACCAAUUUUACAGUUUUAUAUCAGCAUAGGCCCUUUGCCAAGAUGGGCAAGGUGGACAAGUCUGGGAUACAUGGAGCUCUGUACUAAAAAGAGCAACCACAAUACACAUAUAAUACACCCAUAUAAAAGAAUAGAGGACAAAUGUAAAGAAUAACAACAUGGGUUUUCACCAGACCUGGGGGAAAAGUAUUACUAAGUAUCUCACUACAUUAUUACUAGUGCCUUUGUUUGAAUUUUUGAAACAGGGUCUUGUCUGGCUGUACAGCUCUGGCUGGCUUGGGACUCUCUCUGUGGACCAAGGUGGCCUCAUCCUCACAGAGAUUUGCCUGCCUUUCUCUCUCAGAGUGUUGAGAUUAAAGGUGUGUGUCACCACACACCUUUUGUUUUGUUGUUGUUGCUGUUCUUUGAUUUUGAGACAGCAUCUUACUAGGCAGCCCAGGCUGAUAUAUCCCAGGCUGAUAUAUCCCAGGCUGAUAUAUCACUAUAUAGCGCAGUCUGACCUUGAACUCCCCCCUCCUGCCUUAAACUACUUGGCUAGCACCCACCAUGCUUGCCGCCAGGCAUAUACCAUCAUGCCUGACCCGAAGGAUUUGCAUUUCAUUUUAGGAAAAGGGGGGAACGAAAUGGUCACAAAACCCACAUAUUACAUUAUUCCAUUUAUAUGUAGUAUCCAAAAUAGAUCAAUCUGUAGAAAAAGAAAGCAGUAGAUUAGUGGUUGCCUGGAGCUGUAGGCUGGAAGAAACAGGGAGAGAAUGUUAACGGAUAUUGGGUUUCUUUCAGGGGAGGGAUGAUGGAAAUGUUCUAAAACUGUUUGUGGUGAUGUUUGCACAAUCUUAUGAAUGUACCAAAAAGCCAUUGACUUGUACACUUUAAAGGAGUGAAUUACAUGGUGUGUGAAUUAUAUCUCAAUAAAACUGUUAUUUUAAGAAGGGUCAUGGCUG
rnacentral:lncRNA from 1 species